GGCCGAGUGGCGGAAUUGGCAGACGCGCUAGAUUCAAAAUCUGGUUCUCGCAAGGGAGUGUGGGUUCGAGUCCCACCUCGGCUA
rnacentral:tRNA from 1 species